rnacentral:rRNA from 1 species
AAAACAUAGCCCUAAGAAAUUAUUUAGGGUGAAGCCUGCUCAAUGAGGAGUUUAAAUAGCCGCGGUACCUUGACCGUGCUAAGGUAGCAUAAUCAGUUGACUUUUAAAUGAAGUCUGGAAUGAAUGGAAUAACGGGAUUAAGCUGUCUCUAUAUUUUUCUUUUUAAUUUACUAAUUAGGUGAAAAGGCCUAAAAAUGAUAAAAGACGAUAAGACCCUUAGAGUUUUUUAAAAUAUUUUGUUGGGGCGACAAGGAAUCAGAAAACAUUCUUAUGAACAUGUGACGGAUUUUUCAUGAUUAGAUAAACUACCUGAGGGAUAACAGCAUUAUCUUUUAAGGUUUGUGACCUCGAUGUUGGACUAGGAAGCCUGCAGGUUAGCUGCCUGCAAGGGGGGUUCUGUUCGAACUAUUACUCCUACGUG